UGUUAAAAGUUUCAUCUAUUUCUACUGUUGAAAAAUGACAUAGUUGACAAAAUAAUCAAACAGCGACAAGUGGUGUGCCAUACGUACCUCAUGCUAACACUAACGUACAUAAACCAAUUUUUAACAAUUAAAAUGGAUGUAAUUUUUAACA
rnacentral:pre_miRNA from 1 species